GGAGGAGGAGUCCGGCCUGAUCCUCUCACCCUAGAGCAGGAGGAGGAGGAGGAGGAGGAGUCCGGCCUGAUCCUCUCACCCGAGAGCAGGAGGAGGAGGAGGAGGAGGAGGAGUCUGGCCUGAUCCUCUCACCCUAGAGCACCCGGCCCUCUAGGGCUCUAGGGCGUGAGGAGCAGUGAGGAGGAGGAGGAGGCGUCCAGCGUGAGGAGCAGUGAAGAGGAGGAGGCGUCCGGCGUGAGGGGCAGUGAGGAGGAGGAGGAGGAGGCGUCCGGCGUGACCCUCAGGCCCGGUGCACAUGGUGUUAGGAGACGCCUCGGAGAGGUGUUUGAUAUUUUGUUGCUUGUGGUUGCCAGGGAAACAGGAGGAGCCAGAGGAAGUGUGAGAUGUUAUUUCCUGCUUCCUGUCGUGUGUCGCCCUCAUCUGAACUCUGACGUCAGUGUGACUGACUCCCCCCCCCCCCCCCCCCAAACGCUCCCCCAUGUUGAUGAAACAAAUACAAACGAUUGUAUUGAUCUGGGAUCAGUAGAAGGGAAGGAAUGUAUUGCACGUCCUGGUUGUUGAAAUGUGAACGGUUUUGUCUGUUGGGAAGCUGAAAUGAGAUCGGUCUCAACAUUUGUUUUAUGCAAUCGGCUCAUUGGAGUGUUUCAUCCAGUACCUGAAUGUAUGGCUUUCCUGAGAUGGCUUCUGUUCUGUUUGGGUUUAUCUUUGGUAUUUGCUGUGACCCACGGUUACUACAUCACACAGCCAUUCCACGGUCGGUCGUGUUCCCCUAAAGCGAGCAUGUUUAUGAAGUACAUGCAAUGGUUUGUUAUUAUUCUGCAGAAGAUUUCUUCAACUAAUAUAGUGAUGACUUAGCUUUUGCCAAGGGCAACUAAAUUAAGAUUUGUGAUAUUCAAGCUAUUGUAUCAGUGAAGUUUAACUUUAUAUUUUGUUAUUUAUUAUUUUUAUAUAAUUUUCUUGCAUUUCAAGGUAUUUUAAGGUAUCUAUAUUUGAAAUUAUUCUAAAGUUAUAUGGGUAACAUUUACCUACUAGUACAUAUUCAGUGUGGGAAGAGAAACAUUCACUAACUAGCGAUAGGGGUCAUUCCUUGGUGCCAUUUGUAAUUGUCCCAAAAAGUAUGAGGCAAAAUUAGAGGUGCCAAAGAGGUUUCUUCUUCCAAAUAUAUCACACGUAAUUUUCAAUUAUCCAACUUAAAGCUUGAUUUCAAUUAUGUUGACAUAUCAAACAUGUACCGGUACUAAUUAACUUUGGCUUUAUUUACGACAUUGAUGGUUAUUCGUUGCAAAGUAUGAUACUAAAUACUUAUUUAUAUUCAAGAUAGGAAUAAUGCACAUCAGGCAUUGGGAGAUGGACAAAGGCUUAUUUAAAUGUGGAGGAGACACUUUUAAACUGCCAGAAAUGUAUUUUUUACAACAGAAAAGCCAAACAGGAAAUUCAAGAGAUACUGUUAUUGAAUGUGUUCAUUUACUGCAGUAUGAAGUGGAACCAGAGGUUAAUCGUGUUGCCAUUUUUCAUAUUAUGUAACACUUUUCUUUUUUAUAUAAAUAAGCUGGAGACUAAUUAUUGCCUGUGAACUCUGAUUGAGAGUUUGCGAUACAAUUUUUGCAUGGCUUUAUUUUUCUUGUAUGUAUUAUGGUUUGUUCAACUACUGACUGUAUCGUCUUAAAUGUUCAUUUGUUUUAUGCGAGUGUGGUUUAAGUUUGAGCCUUUAACAACCAAAACCCCACACUGCAAAAAAUAAAGUACAAAUAUUUAAUUUUC